rnacentral:rRNA from 1 species
AUACGGGGGGUGCAAGCGUUACUCGGAAUCACUGGGCGUAAAGCGCGCGCAGGCGGUCUUUUAAGUUGGAUGUGAAAGCCUACGGCUCAACCGUAGAACUGCAUCCAAAACUAUUAGACUAGAGUGUGGGAGAGGAAGAUGGAAUUAGUUGUGUAGGGGUAAAAUCCGUAGAGAUAACUAGGAAUACCAAAAGCGAAGGCAAUCUUCUGGAACACUACUGACGCUGAGGCGCGAAAGCGUGGGGAGCAAACAGGAUUAGAAACCCCAGUAGUCC